AGGAUUAUAGUUAAUUAUAACAUUUGGGUUGCAUUCAAAAAGUGCUGAAUAAUCUUCAGCUUCUCUUA
rnacentral:tRNA from 1 species